UACGGAGGGUGCGAGCGUUAAUCGGAAUUACUGGGCGUAAAGCGCGCGUAGGCGGUUUGAUAAGCUGGAUGUGAAAUCCCCGGGCUCAACCUGGGAAUUGCAUCCAGAACUGUCUGACUAGAGUACAGUAGAGGUGAGUGGAAUUUCCUGUGUAGCGGUGAAAUGCGUAGAUAUAGGAAGGAACAUCAGUGGCGAAGGCGACUCACUGGACUGAUACUGACGCUGAGGUGCGAAAAGCGUGGGGGAGCAAAACAGGAUUAGAUACCCGGGUAGUCC
rnacentral:rRNA from 1 species